rnacentral:rRNA from 1 species
AAUAAUUACAACUUUCAACAACGGAUCUCUUGGUUCUGGCAUCGAUGAAGAACGCAGCGAAAUGCGAUAAGUAGUGUGAAUUGCAGAAUUCAGUGAAUCAUCGAAUCUUUGAACGCACAUUGCGCCCCUUGGUAUUCCAUGGGGCAUGCCUGUUCGAGCGUCAUUU